CCUACGGGGGGCAGCAGUGGGGAAUAUUGGGCAAUGGGCGCAAGCCUGACCCAGCAACGCCGCGUGAGGGAAGAAGGCUUUCGGGUUGUAAACUUCUUUUAUCAGGGACGAAGCAGGUGACGGUACCUGAUGAAUAAGCCACGGCUAACUACGUGCCAGCAGCCGCAGUAAUACGUAGGGGGCAGGCGUUAUCCGGAUUUACUGGGUGUAAAGGGCGUGUAGGCGGGAGUGCAAGUCAGAUGUGAAAACUGGGGGCUCAACCGAUGGACUGCAUUUGAAACUGUGCUUCUUGAGUGCUGGAGAGGCAAUCGGAAUUCCGGGUGUAGCGGUGAAAUGCGUAGAUAUACGGAGGAACACCAGUGGCGAAGGCGGAUUGCUGGACAGUAACUGACGCUGAGGCGCGAAAGCGUGGGGAGCAAACAGGAUUAGAUACCCUAGUAGUC
rnacentral:rRNA from 1 species